AUUGAACGCUGGCGGCAUGCCUUACACAUGCAAGUCGAACGGUAACGGGCCUUCGGGCGCCGACGAGUGGCGAACGGGUGAGUAAUGCAUCGGAACGUACCUUUCAGUGGGGGAUAACGUAGCGAAAGUUACGCUAAUACCGCAUAUUCUGUGAGCAGGAAAGCAGGGGAUCGCAAGACCUUGCGCUGAUUGAGCGGCCGAUGUCAGAUUAGCUAGUUGGUGAGGUAAAGGCUCACCAAGGCGACGAUCUGUAGCGGGUCUGAGAGGAUGAUCCGCCACACUGGAACUGAGACACGGUCCAGACUCCUACGGGAGGCAGCAGUGGGGAAUAUUGCACAAUGGGCGAAAGCCUGAUGCAGCGACGCCGCGUGAGUGAAGAAGGC
rnacentral:rRNA from 1 species